AACAUCUGGUCGCCUCUUAUGAAAACGGCCUUAGAAAACUUUAGCUUUCUUAAGCCGACCAGGUUAGAAAAUGUACGGAUUCCCUUGGCCUAAUAGUCAUCGCCGGUAGAUAGGCAUAUCUGAAGAAAAAAGAAAUACAGAUGGGAAAUAAACUCUUCUCUUACUCAGAGAACACCCCCCCUCUCGUUUUCCAAGUUUUGCCCAGCCAUCCAGGGGAGACCUCUGGUCCUGGUGGUGACAGUAAUGGAGCAAUUGUGGAAUCGUUCCCUUGAAGUUCCCCCAGCAAAUGGCGGCCAGGAAUGUCAGAGGAAUAUCACACAUAUCCCAUCUGGGGUGGUGGGGGUGGUUUGCAGUCUCAGCUUGCCUAUGCUCCCUCAUCAAUAUGGAAACUGACUCUCAAAGAUAAGUUGUCAUAGAAUUAUUGGUUGAAUCAGAUGCAAAUCCAGACCUGUCUCUAAAGCUUCUUCCUGGAAGUUUGUUAGAUGCAGAAUCUCAGAGCCCCUCUUCCUGCCCUCACCUGCUGAAUCAGAAUCUGCAGUUUCACAAGAUUUCCAGGAAAUUGCAGUGAAUGUCUCAAUUCAAAACCAUGAAAGAAGAAUGGGCUUCCUGAGUACAGAGCUAUCUGCUAAUGGGGAAAUCACCCCUUAAAGGAAUGGCAGACUUCUUUCAUGUGGACUAGAAAGCAUGCACUACCCAGCAGAUGAAAUAUGGAAAGAACAAAAGUUUGGCUGUCGACAUGAGAUCUACUAUUUUGACUUCCAUCAAAAGAAUAUGAGCCCAAGUAAACACACAGCACAAGAGCACACGCUCUCAGGUUCAAAGUCAGAAUGCCAUUAACAGCCAAAUAAACCUGGGGGGAAAAUCUGAUUUUUUUUUCUCCUUCCUGACUCUAUCCAAAGAUAAUCAAGUGGCUCCUUGGUUCAAGAUACCAAUUUUGGUAAAUACAAAAAUGUAGUAUGCUUCUAUUUCAUUUUUGUGCUUUUUUUUUUUUUUCUGUCGUAUUGAGAGUUUCUGUGAUAUGGUGCACUUCAAAUUGCUUCUGUCAAUUCCAGUUUGCCUCCUUCAAGCUAAGCAGAGGCUGGGGGAAAGCAGUGCAAUUUAAAUAAUAGAGUUAUUUAAAGUGAAAGAUAGCAAGGCUAUCUUAUUCUUGCUCACCAGUAUAAAUUGUUUCUGGUCUGAACUGGCUUUAUGAUUGAUGGUUCCUAAUUUCUGGAUGGAUUUUACUCUGUGAAUCAGAGGAUUUCCUGUAAUAAGGUAGAAAUGGUUUCAUUCAGGACCAUAUUGUGGUCCAGAUAUUCUUUUGAAAAAGAUUGCCAAUCUACAUAGGCAGUUUUGUCAGAAAGAAAGAGUCCUUCAAAUGGACCACUAGAUGGAGGUGCUGCACCAUCAGUGCUGAAUGCCGUCCGUCCUCUGCAUUUCAGGGCUGCGUUAGUGGAAAAAACUGAUCACUGAUGUCUGUGCCCAGGAGCAAUGUUGGCCCAAGCAAAGGUGGUCUUUAUAUGUAAUAUAUCUGGUCACUGGAUAUUCUGUUAAGCUUUUGUUGAGGCAGUGAUUUGUUGACUCAACAAGCUAUCGUUUGUCUAAAGGUCAUGAUUUUUUUUUUAAUUGGAAAGGACAAAUUUUAAGAGCAAAAUUCAAAAUUUGUCAAGAUCAUACAUAAAAUUUUCUUUACAUUAAUUUAUGCUUUCCAUUGGAUAAUUAAAAUUUCCCAGAGACUGAGGACUUCAAUAGCUGAAUGGAAACGUAAAGAACUGCUGGCCAGGGUAGCAUCAGGGGGCAGGAGCUCUGCCCUGCAUCCUGAAUAAGGAGCUGGAAGGUUGCUGGGCCUUUUCUCAGCUGCGUUGUGAGCGAUUUUGACUGGAAGCUGCUAAGGUCCCUUCUAAUUCUAACAGUCUACAGUUGUCUGAUUUUAAACAGUUACCAAGUACAGAAGCCCCUGAAAGCCAUUUAGUUUUUUUCAAAUUUACUCUGAAGUCAUACGGUUGUUUAUAGUGUGGUAUAUAUGUGAACAAUACUCUUGUUCAAUGUCAGAAGUGAUGUUCAUUCCUGGAAUUCCAAGGUAUGGAAUGAAACUUUGGAGUUUCAGUUAAAGAGAUAAUGAAACUGUUUAUCAUAAUAUCAUCUUAGGCUUUAUUUUGCUGUAAAUGUUUUAGAAACCAUGGGCCAUCUUUUUGUUACAUUU